rnacentral:lncRNA from 1 species
ACGGUCGUCCUCAAAAUUGAUUACAAACGCUAUCUAACUCAACCAACCUAUAUUACAUCCUGAAAUGUAAACAUCACAUAGAAAUAUAAUAUCAUAUCUUCAAAAGAUUUAAGUUGUCUUUAGUCUGGUGAUCUUCAUUUGGGUUUGCUUUCUUGGAAUUGAGUUUUUCAUCCCUAUGAAAUAAAAUAAUGUACCAAAAAGUGCAAGGCAAAUAUAUUAAAAAAUAUGAGACUACCAAAUAUAAAUAGCAAGACCCCUCCAUCAUUGACAUUCCUCUCAUCAAAGCUUACCAGGUCAAACUAUAUAUAUAUAUAUAUAUAUAUAUAUAUAUAUAUAUAUAUAUAGUAGUGAUCGAUAAGCUUUAGGUAGUGCUAUAAAGACUACUGCAUAUUGGCUAACAAAAUUAUUGAUUCUAACAAAAAAAUUCCACGCUACAUAUAUAAAUAGUAUUUCUAUUAGUAUAUAUAUUUGACUAUGUCAAAUUGAUAGAAGAUGUUUAUCAAUACAUGCAUGGGGUAAGAGUAUUAAUUACCAUAUGAAACAUAAUUUUGAAGGAUAUCAGCUACAAUGUGGUAGACAUCUACAUAAAGAAAUUUUGAUCUGUUGAGAUUGGCAGCAAACUCCAUUAGAAGACUCUGUAACUAACUGCUGAAUGACUGGACAAAUUGAUUUGGCAAAACAACACAGUUGUCUCGAAUUAUACGUAAGAAACGGUAAGCAAUAUAAUCAUCAAAUAUGUAUAUAAGAAACGGAAAGCAACAUAAUCAUCAAAUUAGAUUUCAACGAAAUCUUUUAAGCUAUGUUUGCAACUCAAUCCAAGCCUAACAAUUGAAAGUGAGCCUAAAUUUUAGUUCUAUAGAAUUGCAAUUGUGCUUUCAAUUCAAAUUCAAGAGUUUCAAAUCGAGUUGUCAGAUAUAGAAUGAAAAUCAAGGAUUGAUUUCAUGGAAAAUAACUUACAAAAAUCUUUCCAGUUUCAUUGACAAUUCUUCCUACACCGGAAGCAUAGUUGACACCCUGCAGAAUUACAGGUCCCCUGGUGGUUGGAGCCAAAUAUGGAGGAGCAAAAUCUUUAAAAUCGGUUUGUUGUCCCGGUAUAACAAAAAAUUAUAAACAAACAUAAAGAUUUUUUUGUUGUUGCUAAACAAACGUAUAACAGAUUUUGUCAAAGUUUGUCACAUAACAGAUUUAGUUUUUCGUAUUAAUAUGCAUCUUUAGCUAGUAAUUAAUAUGCAUCUUUAGCUAGUAAUGAUGAGAGUUCAACAUCAACUGAGAAAGAAGUGAGUGUCUUGGAGGAGCUUCUUGAAUCAGAACCAAAAAAAAGAAACCAAACAAAGAUCGAGUAUUUUAAAUGCAGUUUUAAUUUUAAUUAUGUUUUUUUCCCGAGUAUCCUUUUUUUCCCUGUGUUUUUUUUAUAAAUUUAUUUGUUUUUAUCUUCUUUUAAUUCUUUCUGUAUUUGAAGAGAAACGUGUAUCAAUUUGAUAAUAAUUAAAUAAAAAAAUUAUUUCUUUUUGACACAUCAGAACUAAAAUGUCACAUGUAUGUGUCACAUCAUCAAUUUGUGACAUGGCGGUUUCCAAUUGAAUCAAAAUGGAAAAAAUUGAAAGCUUAAUAACUUAAUUGAAAAAAUUAAAAAGUGGAAUAUCGAAGUGGAAAAAGUGUAAUAGUUUAGGAUAAUAAUUCAUAUUUAAGCCUAAACUCAACUACUCAAGUAUUGUUCUACCAUUUGCAUAUGGAAGAACAAAAUCUUACCUAAAAUAUCAGAUAUUGUUCUGCCAUUUGUGUAUCGUCAUGUUGGCUUCCCAAAAUCAAUACCAUUAGGAGGGUAAGGAUAGAGACACAAUGUAGUUAUUGUUUCUAGCUUCAACCAAAGAGUCCAAAAAUAAAAUUAGCAAAAAAAAAUUCUGCUGAACAAAUGCCCAACCAAACAAAGACUGUCAAAACUACACAACACCAACAAUAACUCUUUUUGAUGAUAGAUUAGCCAUUACAAUCAAUGUGUAAGAGAAAAAACAGUUAUGGGUAUGCUCUACCAAUACAAAAUCUGCAUGAAAAAACUAAGUAAAGAAUACUUUCCCCUUCCUCACAAUUGAAGGAUGAGGAAGAGGAGGAAGAGGAGGAAUCUCUACAAUUUAACAGAGUGCAACAAAUGUUCUUCAAAGGAUUUAAUAUUUUUUAAUUUUAAUAUUGUUCAAUGAAAAUCAAAGUUUUAGAUACCAAGUUAAUAAUAUUUUCAGACAUUGAUGAAAUGACCUACUACUUCACAAAAACUAAUUCCUUAUUUGUGAUUCAGUCAGAACAUACAUCAAACAAAUGGGAUGCAAAGACCAAAAACAAAAAAAAAAGAAAAAAUGACCAAUAACAAAUACUUGACGAAGUUAUUGGCCUCUCAGUGUCAUGGGUAUUUUAGAUUUGAUAAAAUGCAGAUGCAUAACAAAUAGUAAUAAGCAAAUUCAAAUACCUGAAGAUGGAAGAUUUCGUUCGAAAAGUGUGGAAUUAUUCACUUCCGAUCACUAGCUAAUCCUGUAUAUAGACAAUAUGUAUUUUCGUUUAGUAGAGUUUCUAUUUGACGGUAAAGAAAAACCCCAAAACAACCAGCCCCAGAGCGAAAUUCAUUCAAUAACCCUUAUACCUAUCUCAACUCACACCCAAAUUUCCUAAAAUGCCAAUUCAUUCAAUAACCCUUCUAUAAAAUUUGUCAAAUAGGAAUCAGAAAUAUAUACUUACAGAAGUGUGGAUGCCAAUAAAUGCAAAGAAUCCAAGUAUUGGAGCACAAAAAUGUUAUCUGAAUCCAACACUCCAAAAAAUAGGCUUUUGAUUUAGAGUAUUUUCAACAGCUCAAAAUACUGAUUAAAUAACAUCACUAAAAAACACACAAAGCCCCAGUUCCAAUUUAUCUAAAUUCAUUUUAAAAUUAAACCCAAUUAGCUUCUUCAACAAUUUUCACAAAGCCCAAUUACAAAAUCAUUAGAUGUUAACUACAGAUACUUAAAUUGCAAGAACUGAAUCUCGUUAUCAAUAAUCUAACAUAAAAACCUAAUAUUUUUCGAGAUAGAUUACACAAUUUAGAAACACUACAGCAAAAUAAAUUUGAUAAAAUUAGCUAAAUAAUGAAUAUAGAGUUUGUAUAUAUAUGAGAUGAAUGAGAUUUGAGUACCGUUUGGGAAUUGAGAAUGAGGACCUUUUGAAUUUGUAACGUUUGAGUUUGAAAGAUUACUAUGAGCAAUCAAAAUAUAUGCUAAGAUCGGUAGGAUGGCAGUGAGGCGUUGAUGAUGAUAUGUUGAUUUGGGACUUAUAUGUUUGUGAUAAUGGGGUUUGAAGAGAUCUGAUACUUGAAACAAAGGAUGGAAAGAAUUGGAAAACCCGGAAAAGGAAUCGACAAAAAUUGGAAGAAGAGGAAGAAGAAGAAGAUGGGAAAUCUGAAAAGAGAUGAAGAGAAACGGAAGAGUAACCGAUCAAUUGUAUAUGGGCUUUGGAAUUCAGAAUAAGGAGGGGU